AUGGACGAAAGUCUGACGGAGCAACGCCGCGUGAGUGAUGAAGGUUUUCGGAUCGUAAAGCUCUGUUGUUAGGGAAGAACAAGUGCCGUUUGAAUAAGGCGGCACCUUGACGGUACCUAACCAGAAAGCCACGGCUAACUACGUGCCAGCAGCCGCGGUAAUACGUAGGUGGCAAGCGUUGUCCGGAAUUAUUGGGCGUAAAGCGCGCGCAGGCGGUCUCUUAAGUCUGAUGUGAAAGCCCACGGCUCAACCGUGGAGGGUCAUUGGAAACUGGGAGACUUGAGUACAGAAGAGGAGAGUGGAAUUCCACGUGUAGCGGUGAAAUGCGUAGAUAUGUGGAGGAACACCAGUGGCGAAGGCGACUCUCUGGUCUGUAACUGACGCUGAGGCGCGAAAGCGUGGGGAGCAAACAGGAUUAGAUACCCUGGUAGUCCACGCCGUAAACGAUGAGUGGUAGGUGUUAGGGGUUUCGAUGCCCUUAGUGCCGAAGUUAACACAUUAAGCACUCCUA
rnacentral:rRNA from 1 species